UGAGUAACACGUGGGUGAUCUGCCCUGCACUUUGGGAUAAGCCUGGGAAACUGGGUCUAAUACCGAAUAUUUCCUGCUGGUCGCAUGGCUGGUGGGGGAAAGCUUUUGCGGUGUGGGAUGAGCCCGCGGCCUAUCAGCUUGUUGGUGGGGUGAUGGCCUACCAAGGCGACGACGGGUAGCCGGCCUGAGAGGGUGUCCGGCCACACUGGGACUGAGAUACGGCCCAGACUCCUACGGGAGGCAGCAGUGGGGAAUAUUGCACAAUGGGCGCAAGCCUGAUGCAGCGACGCCGCGUGGGGGAUGACGGCCUUCGGGUUGUAAACCUCUUUCAGUACCGACGAAGCGCAAGUGACGGUAGGUACAGAAGAAGCACCGGCCAACUACGUGCCAGCAGCCGCGGUAAUACGUAGGGUGCGAGCGUUGUCCGGAAUUACUGGGCGUAAAGAGCUCGUAGGUGGUUUGUCGCGUUGUCCGUGAAAACUCACAGCUUAACUGUGGGCGUGCGGGCGAUACGGGCAGACUGGAGUACUGCAGGGGAGACUGGAAUUCCUGGUGUAGCGGUGGAAUGCGCAGAUAUCAGGAGGAACACCGGUGGCGAAGGCGGGUCUCUGGGCAGUAACUGACGCUGAGGAGCGAAAGCGUGGGGAGCGAACAGGAUUAGAUACCCUGGUAGUCCACGCCGUAAACGGUGGGUACUAGGUGUGGGUUUCCUUCCUUGGGAUCCGUGCCGUAGCUAACGCAUUAAGUACCCCGCCUGGGGAGUACGGCCGCAAGGCUAAAACUCAAAGGAAUUGACGGGGGCCCGCACAA
rnacentral:rRNA from 1 species